GUUCGAAUAGUUUAUCAAAAAUUCAAAGCUUGUAACUUUGAGAAGUUUUCAAACUUCGAACU
rnacentral:tRNA from 1 species